GUUCCUCCUGUGAUGACUUGCACUGGGCUCUGAGUCCUCGUGGAGACACGUGCACGCUUUGGCCCUGACAAGCCAGAGUUUCUGAGGAGAUC
rnacentral:snoRNA from 1 species